rnacentral:rRNA from 1 species
GAUGAACGCUGGCUACAGGCUUAACACAUGCAAGUCGAGGGGAAACGACGGGGAAGCUUGCUUCCCCGGGCGUCGACCGGCGCACGGGUGAGUAACGCGUAUCCAACCUGCCUCUAACUGAGGGAUAACCCGUCGAAAGUCGGCCUAAUACCUCAUGGCAUCGUCUGCGGGCAUCCAACGACGAUUAAAGAUUUCAUCGGUCAGAGAUGGGGAUGCGUCUGAUUAGCUUGUUGGCGGGGUAACGGCCCACCAAGGCGACGAUCAGUAGGGGUUCUGAGAGGAAGGUCCCCCAAAUUGGAACUGAGACACGGUCCAAACUCCUAAGGGAGGCAGCAGUGAGGAAUAUUGGUCAAUGGGCGAGAGCCUGAACCAGCCAAGUAGCGUGCAGGAUGACGGCCCUAUGGGUUGUAAACUGCUUUUAUGCGGGGAUAAAGUGAGGGACGUGUCCUUCAUUGCAGGUACCGCAUGAAUAAGGACCGGCUAAUUCCGUG